GGGGGAGUAGCUCAGUGGAUAGAGCAGCGGCCUUCUAAGCCGAAGGUCAAGGGUUCGACUCCCUUCUUCCCCG
rnacentral:tRNA from 1 species